rnacentral:lncRNA from 1 species
GUGGCGAGUGCCGGCCGAAAGCUAGGUCCGGAUUGCACGUGGAGGGCCGCCCGAAGGGCACUCUCGGACAUUAACCCGCAUUCUGUACCAUGGGGCGCAAGUUGGACCCUACGAAGGAGAAGCGGGGGCCAGGCCGAAAGGCCCGGAAGCAGAAGGGUGCCGAGACAGAACUCGUCAGAUUCUUGCCUGCAGGUAAGGAUUAGUUGUGGCCUCCUGAUCCCUCAGCUUUUGCAGUAUUCUGUAUUAUAACCUCUUCUCUUUUUUAGUUUCUGUUCAUUUUAUAUUUAAGUGGAAUCUUCUCUGUAUGAGUUACUAGGAGGUAUGAAUGAAACAGCCGUUUAGAUUGUAGGGAACUGUUUAGGUCGUAGAGAUGUGAAGACACGGACACAACUAUUAUUCAUGCAAGGGAAAAGUGUGAUUUAAAACAAUUGUGAGUUCAGAGGAAGGGGGAGCCCAUGCAGAACUGUAAAAGUUUUUGUUAAGCUGGGUUUUGAAAAAUGGGUAACAU